GGUUCCGUGGUGUAGGGGUUAACAUGCCUGCCUGUCACGCAGGAGAUCGCGGGGUCAAAUCCCGUCGGGACCG
rnacentral:tRNA from 1 species